GGUAUGGGGGGGGAAUUCCACCCCCAGGUGGUUUCCAUGGAAACGCCACCUCUUGCAGUAUCCAGAGCGCGACUGGGACAUCACUGGCCUCUGGGACCAGGUGCUGGGGCUCCACUCCAAGCUGGGGUGGCUGCAUCUGUCCCACAGGCCUGUGUUGGGACGCCAGGGACGGUUGCCCUGGCAACAGGGGAGGGGCAGAGAGGAGAAAGCCCAGGAGGGAGCUGGGCGGGACAGUGCACCCUCCAGGGCUGCUGGGAACUCGUGGGCCGGGCCUGCCCCUGGCUGCCACUCUCCCGCUCACUGUGGAGUGGGAUGGGCUGUGACUGGCAGUGCCACCCGGGGCAUUGGGUGGAACUGGGCGAGGACUUCCUGAGAAGGAAGCCAACUGAGGCCAGCACUGCCACAUGGAGACCGGGACAGGCUCGGCUGGGUGACAGCGCCGGCCACUGAGCAAGUGCAGACGCUGCUUUAAAGAUUAUUAAGGGCGAGGCCUGGUGGGCACAGCUGUCAUCUCAGCACUCGGGGAGGCUGAGGCAGGAGGAUCCCAGUUGGAGCCCAGCCAGGGCUAUCUAGCGACUUGCUGCCUCGUUGGGAGCCAGCUCCAGUUCUCCUGAAAAACAGCCUGGCUGUGGAUUAUACACAAGGAAUGAGGAUGUAGCAGGAACCGAACACCAGCCAGCUCCCGCUGGAGCCAUGGGGAUAAAGACAGAUGGCCCUGGGAGACACUGUGACAAGUGGCCGAUCACACGCCCCUGACAGCUGGCUCCAGGAGGCCGGGCUUCCUCAGGCCCUGGCCGCCUAUGCCUCCUGCUCUUCCCCGUAGAGCUGGGGACCUGGACUGGACUCGUGCUAAUCGGGACGCAGGGGCUCCGCCUGUAAGAGGCUUUUCUGAGGCCGCCCCGAGAGAAAGGCUCCCAGGACAAGGUCUGCGUUGUCUGGGGAGAGGGAGCGAAUUCCCGCUAAGCCCGGCUACCCCAGCCCUGGCCUGGCCCUGGCUUGAGGGCAGUGGCAGAGGAAGCCAGCUCUGGAGGCUCUGCCCACGCCUCCCGCAGAGUCCGGGUGCCCAGGCGCAGGCUCUUACGCAGCAC